CACCAACGGCGGUGAAAACGAUGACAAGAUAGAAAGUGGUCGCUUGCGUUCGCAGUGUACCGACCACGUCGUCGUAUAGUAUGCUUCGGCAAAUUUUACGAUCAUUCUCGAAGGUUUAGGACCGGAGAAUUAGACUGAAGAAUGCGACCCAGGGCUUGGUAUACCUUCAAGAUCCUGCGAGGACGUGCCACGGGACUCGCGGGAUAUUUAUGAGCACUCAAGAACACAUUAGAAGACCCAAUCCUUCGCGAAUGGAAGCUCUUCGGUUGCUUCAUACUGCUUGACCCUCAGUUUUUUGGGGGGAAAACCCACGAUGGUUCCAAUUCAUCGGAAAUUCUAAUUUUUCCACCAUUUUGUUUUCGUUGAAUACGAAUCGAGCGAGUAUAGCUGCAAGAAAAUGUAAAUUAUUCAGAAGAGCGCGGAAACGCAAAAAACAAGGACGAGGAGAUCUUGUAAAUUACAAUUCUCGGCUCAUCCGCGAUCCCUGCGAAGGACGAGUACAAAGGAGGUCGAAGAGAUGUAAUUUGCAGCGGACUCGUUCGAGUAAAAGCAUUAGAGAAGACCGAAACGGAACGAUACAGACGCCACAUUAUGCUCCCCGUCGCAUUAAGAGCUAUAUACGGUAAUGUGUACUUUGUCUCAUGCGAUGUUCGAAAAGAAAAACGUAAUUGCACGUUUCGCGCUACCGGAUCCGCGUUACUCCAAUUCUUUGCUGCUCGCGAAACGAAAUUAGGGUUAUUAACUAGAAAACGUUCGUGAGGGCGCGGAAAAUGUUUGACCUGGUUCGUUGUUCCACUUGCUCGUCGUUUUUUAUUUCUUUUUUUUACGAACGGUAAUUUUGUCGAAUUAGUAGGAAUUUGUGAUCGACUCUGAAAUGAGAGACCAAGCAAAUUAUACCCGUACUGUUACACCACUUAGAUUCACCUGACGCAAUCCUAUUAAUCAACCUUUAUUCUAUAAACGACCCGAACCAUUUACCAGAAAAAAUAUUUUUAAAAAAUUACAUUAAAAUAUGAAUCGUUACAGGAAGAUCGAUACUAGAAGGAAGAAGUCACCCGAUCUGAAAGGAAGCAAACAGUGCUGGAAGUGAAUGAAACGCCUAUGUCGUGGGAAAAUUAUUCGACAAACGUGGAACGAUUCAGGCACGUCGCGGUGCAGGGUGCAGAUGUAGCUACAGACGAAGCCCGUGGAGAGACCGUCGCGCUUUAGAAAUUAUUUUAUCGCUGGCGACACCAUAAACCGAGGAUUCUUGGACUGUCGUAAACCUCCUGUACCUUGGCUCGAACAUUUCAACGAGCAAUCGCCGCAGCCUGAUCUGCGAGCAUCUCUGGACCAUACAGAGUGUAACUGAAAACAACUGUAAUAGUCCUUAUAAUCGGUUGGGUUGGUUUGACAUUGACAACGCACGCCGCAGCGAAUACGAAAAUUGAUAGUUGAGACAGCAUUUACCGAGCCAGCAAUUUAUUCUAACAUCGGGUGGGCUAAUGUCCACUCCACGCGGAGGUGAGCUUAAGGAAACCGCGCGGAAGUUCGGAGACUAUCGAGAAACCUUUCCUCGAGGACGGCGUUCAGUCAAAAGUAGUACGCUACAUAGCAUCGACGUCGAAUCGGUCCAUUGUCGACUUAAGGAUACAGAAUUGUCCUUAUCCGGUACAAUUAUCCAGAAAUGAAAAAGACACACUCUGGGAGCUCCUGAAGGUGUCCAACGGACUGCCGUGAGACAUGCGAUGCUGCGGAAGGAAAUAAUUUUCAGCGAUAUCUUCAACGAAGUAAUUAUCUUCAUCUAGGAAUAACGAAUCGCUCUCAACGAUACAAAAGCAAUCGGGGCGAAACAGCCGUUCUUUCUAAGCGAUUUCGUGUCAUGAGGCACUGCUUAUAGCUUAAUUGACCGUCAACAUCGAACCCACGGUCGCAGCAAGCAACUACUGAAGGUUUUAACGAUCAAAGAGGCGCUUGCAGCAUCUAGAAUAUCUAUUUCGAUCGCAAAAUGAUAUCAACGGAUGGCCAUCUUAUUGCAACGAAUAUCUUGGGUUUCCUUUUGUUGCGAUCAAGAGAUAGCAAUCCUGCGAGAAUGUCAAGCAAGUAUUUGUUCAACUUAAAUACCAAGUGAAUGUAAACAACAGAUUGAUACGUGAUCGGAAUUCCACUGGCGAGCUGUGUCGACACAUUCGAGCUAGCAGUCUGUAGUAGGCGCGACGUACGCUGUGUCGAAACACGGAAAAAAAGCGGUGGUAGAAGGAUUAGGGCCUUCGUAAGCGGUUGUUUAUAUUAUUUAUGUACAAAAGUAGCAGUAAUUUGAUCGUCUCUGUAUCCCAGUCACGUGGCUUUGUUUACCCCCGCAACUUCGUCUUUGAGUUGAACGAACAAUAGAAAGUUCAUAGAGAUUUGACCUUAGGACGGCUACUCAAUCAAUGUUAACACUUUAAUGCUCGCUUGUUUUAGCCGACGCUCAAUCCUGAGAGUCCGCGCUCGACUACUAUAAAAUUCAGCUGGAAGCUGAUAGAUUUCAUCUUAUAAAUACUUUGCGUUUAAAUGCGACGUU